GUUCCUUUGGGACAUCCGAUAAAAUUGAAACAACACGGAAAAGAUUAGCAGGAUGGCUGUGCAAGGAUCACACACACAAAAGCAAAAUUGCACAUGAAAAA